rnacentral:rRNA from 1 species
GUGUCAGCCGCCGCGGUAAUACAGAGGUGGCAAGCGUUGUUCGGAAUUACUGGGCGUAAAGGGCGAGUAGGCGGCCUUCUAAGUCAGACGUGAAAUCCCCCGGCUUAACCUGGGAACUGCGUCUGAUACUGGGAGGCUAGAGUAUGGGAGAGGGAUGUGGAAUUCCAGGUGUAGCGGUGAAAUGCGUAGAUAUCUGGAGGAACACCGGUGGCGAAGGCGGCAUCCUGGACCAUUACUGACGCUGAUCCGCGAAAGCUAGGGGAGCAAACGGGAUUAGAUACCCUAGUAGUCC